rnacentral:rRNA from 1 species
AAGUCGUAACAAGGUUUCCGUAGGUGAACCUGCGGAAGGAUCAUUACCGAGUACCGGGUCCUUGGGCCCCUACUUCCACCCUUUGUGUACCUACCGAUUUUUCGUUGCCUCGGCGGGGUCGAUCCCCUGGGCCUGCCGGCCCUGUGGGGGACCCGCCGGGGGGACACGCCAAAACUCCUGUCAACAGUGACGUCUGAGAAACAAAUAAACUAGUCAAAACUUUCAACAACGGAUCUCUUGGUUCUGGCAUCGAUGAAGAACGCAGCGAAAUGCGAUAAGUAAUGUGAAUUGCAGAAUUCAGUGAAUCAUCGAAUCUUUGAACGCACAUUGCGCCCCUUGGUAUUCCGAGGGGCAUGCCUGUUCGAGCGUCAUUUCAAACCUCAAGCUCACGCUUGGUAUUGGGCGUCGUCCGCCAGGACGUGCCAGAAACCCGUAGGCAGCGGUGCCCGUCUCCCAGCGUAGUCAAGUUACCCGCUCUGGAGCGCGCGGCGCGCCCGCCGGACGAACAAUCCACUCAUUUCUAUGGUUUGACCUCGGAUCAGGUAGGGAUACCCGCUGAACUUAAGCAUAUCAAUAAGCGGAGGAAAAGAAACCAACAGGGAUUGCCUCAGUAACGGCGAGUGAAGCGGCAACAGCUCAAUUUGAAAUCUGGGUCUCUCAGGCUCCGAGUUGUAAUUUGUAGAGGAUGUUUCGGCUUACGCCCCGGUCUAAGUUCCUUGGAAUAGGACGUCAGAGAGGGUGAGAACCCCGUAUGUGGCCGGCGGCUUCGCCAUGUGAAGCUCCUUCGACGAGUCGAGUUGUUUGGGAAUGCAGCUCUAAAUGGGAGGUAAAUUUCUUCUAAAGCUAAAUACCGGCCAGAGACCGAUAGCGCACAAGUAGAGUGAUCGAAAGAUGAAAAGCACUUUGGAAAGAGAGUUAAAAAGUACGUGAAAUUGUUGAAAGGGAAGCGCUUGCGACCAGACUUGUCCGCGGUGGCUCCGCCGGUCCUUCGGCCGGUGUACUCCUCCGCGGUCAGGCCAGCAUCAGUUCGGGCGGUCGGAUAAAGGCCUUGGGAAUGUAGCUCCCCUCGGGGAGUGUUAUAGCCCUCGGUGCAAUGCGGCCCGCCUGGACUGAGGAACGCGCUUCGGCCAGGAUGCUGGCGUAAUGGUCGUAAGCGGCC